rnacentral:rRNA from 1 species
AGAGUUUGAUCAUGGCUCAGAUUGAACGGCUGGGCGGCAUGCUUACACAUGCAAGUCGAACGGCAGCGGCGGGGGCAACCCUGGCGGCGAGUGGCGAACGGGUGAGUAAUGCAUCGGAACGUAUCCUGUAAUGGGGGAUAACGUAGCGAAAGUUACGCUAAUACCGCAUACGCUCGAGAGAGGAAAGUGGGGGAUCGCAAGACCUCACGUUAUAGGAGCGGCCGAUGUCCGAUUAGCUAGUUGGUGGGGUAAAGGCCUACCAAGGCGACGAUCGGUAGCUGGUCUGAGAGGAUGAUCAGCCACACUGGGACUGAGACACGGCCCAGACUCCUACGGGAGGCAGCAGUGGGGAAUUUUGGACAAUGGGCGAAAGCCUGAUCCAGCCAUGCCGCGUGCGGGAAGAAGGCCUUCGGGUUGUAAACCGCUUUAGUCCGGGAAAAAGGGGUGCGAGGAUAAUACCCUUGUGCUUUGAUGGUACUGGAAGAAUAAGCACCGGCUAACUACGUG